rnacentral:rRNA from 1 species
UACAGAGGGUGCUAGCGUUGUUCGGAAUCAUUGGGCGUAAAGGGUGCGUAGGCGGGGCUUUAAGGCAGGGGGGAAAUCCUGGAGCUCAACUCCAGAACUGCCUUUGAUACUGAAGAUCUUGAGUUCGGGAGAGGUGAGUGGAACUGCGAGUGUAGAGGUGAAAUUCGUAGAUAUUCGCAAGAACACCAGUGGCGAAGGCGGCUCACUGGCCCGAUACUGACGCUGAGGCACGAAAGCGUGGGGAGCAAACAGG